rnacentral:rRNA from 1 species
UACGUAGGUGGCAAGCGUUGUUCGGAAUUAUUGGGCGUAAAGGGCGCGUAGGCGGUUUGCUAAGUCAGUUGUGAAAGCCCGGGGCUCAACCCCGGAGAGUCGGCUGAUACUGGUGGACUAGAGUACGGAAGAGGUAGCUGGAAUUCACGGUGUAGCGGUGAAAUGCGUAGAUAUCGGGAGGAACACCUGAGGCGAAGGCGGGCUACUGGGCCGAUACUGACGCUGAGGCGCGAAAGCCAGGGGAGCAAACGGG